CUCCUGAGAGGCCAGGGAUGGAGGAGGGCCAGGUGACGGCUGCUUUUCUGCUCUGUGCACUAGAAGGUUGGGGCCCUGGGCUCUAGGGACUGGUGUUCCUCACCUGAAUGCACCUGCAGCAUCUGUCUCCCCCUCCCCUUCUGUAGGGAAGGGGAAGACUCAGGGACAUGUGGUACCCAGAGCUCUGCUGUCCAGUGUCCAUUGUCUGCCAGGCUCACAUCUGCUCACCAGUCUGCUUGCUAGGCAGCUGCUCACUUGGAUGAGAACUUUCAACUUUACUGUAGCCGUGGGAGUUACAGGAGAAUGCUGCUCAAGCAGGGUGACCUGAGUCAUGAAGGUGGAAAGAGAGAACCGACUCUGAAAUAGUCCUCGGACUGUCACACACAUGCUGCGACCUGUGUGAUCCCACAUACGUGCAUCCAACAAUCAUUAAAAUAAAGUGAGCCAGGCAGUGGUGGCACACGCCUUUAAUCCAGCACUUGGGAGGAUUUCUGAGUUUGAGGCCAGCCUGGUCUACAGAGUGAGUUCCAGGGCUACACAGAGAAACCCUGUCUUGAAAAACCAAACCAAACAAAACAAAACGGGGGUGGGGAAAUAAAUAAAAUAAAAUGAAGAAAAAAAA
rnacentral:lncRNA from 1 species